rnacentral:misc_RNA from 1 species
GUGAAUCAUCGAAUCUUUGAACGCAAAUUGCACUCCCUGGUAUUCCGGGGAGUAUGCCUGUUUGAGGGUCGUUAGAACAAAAAUCGAAGCGUGGCUCUUUUUUUUAAGGGUGAUCGCGUCGGAAUUGAGCCGUCUUUCAAAUGUUAAUUAAUGUCAAAGUGGCUUAAAAUUUAUCCAUCCGGUACGAUUAAAGCGUAUUUAAGAUCAACUUUGAUUAAGAACGCGCGAUGUACGUAUGAUCUCAGGUAGUACGUUUGCAUUGAAGUCGUCUG